UGGGGAAUAUUGCACAAUGGGCGCAAGCCUGAUGCAGCCAUGCCGCGUGUAUGAAGAAGGCCUUCGGGGUGUAAAGUACUUUCAGCGGGGAGGAAGGCGAUAAGGUUAAUAACCUUGUCGAUUGACGUUACCCGCAGAAGAAGCACCGGCUAACUCCGUGCCAGCAGCCGCGGUAAUACGGAGGGUGCAAGCGUUAAUCGGAAUUACUGGGCGUAAAGCGCACGCAGGCGGUCUGUCAAGUCGGAUGUGAAAUCCCCGGGCUCAACCUGGGAACUGCAUUCGAAACUGGCAGGCUAGAGUCUUGUAGAGGGGGGUAGAAUUCCAGGUGUAGCGGUGAAAUGCGUAGAGAUCUGGAGGAAUACCGGUGGCGAAGGCGGCCCCCUGGACAAAGACUGACGCUCAGGUGCGAAAGCGUGGGGAGCAAACA
rnacentral:rRNA from 1 species